UGUCACGGGCCGUGUGGCUGCGCCCCAGGACUGAGCGUGCACCCCUAAAGCACGGCGGCUGGGGCGCGGGGCGUGUGGGUCGUGGGCAGGGGCGGGACAGGCUGAGGCCCCUUCCCUGGACUCCGGCUGUGUCCAGGGGGCUCGUGAGAAACGCGGGAUCGGACUCCUGCCUCGGAGCCUGCGCUCAGCCUGGGCUCCGGGGACCGUCGCGGGGAAGGCCGCUGCAGGGGACCCGGGUCCGGGUGGGAGCUGCUCCCUCGAAGCCAGCCUGGCACGAGGAGGUGGCCGCGUGCCCCGCGGUCCACACGAGUCGGGAUCAGUGGGCCGUGUGGUGCCUCUCGGUUCAUCUGCGCCCGGUGAGGGCCCCUCCUGGGGACGGGGCUGCCGGUUCCCCGGCCUGAGCUCUGACGCCGCGAGCGGGGCAGCUGAGGCAGCAGCGGGGCGGGGGGCUCUGAGUCAGGACGGCCCCGCGUGCUGCUGCCGGGGGUAAUCCUGCAAUUAAAACCGCAGAGCUGCAGCAUCCCGGAAAAUGGGAUUUGCAUAAUUUGAAAUUUGAGGAAAAUCUCUAAAUACUUUAAUUUUGAUAGAAACU
rnacentral:lncRNA from 12 species